UGGGUCAACUGAUGUGGUAGAGGUGGGCAAGCAUACCACGAGGUCCUUGGCAUCGAAUGGCUGGAAUGGUUCCUCAGUAAUGGAUUUGAACAUGUUAUGCAGACUUCAGUGCAUCACUGAGGAAAACACACACGCUGAGAAGGGCAAGUUCGGAGAGGUCAAGAGAUUCCACAGGGGAAUGUGGUAUGGUAACUUGUGACCUUUCUCUACAUGAAGCAUGCUGCAUGUUGGUGUUAUUUUGUGGAGCUACUGAAACAAAAAGGAGAGAAGAAGGAAAGCGGUCAGGCAGAAAGAACUCGGAAGUGAAGUCCAGGAGAUCACGUGUUUGGGAGGUGCAAUCAAAGAAAUAUUGACAAGUUCCAGUGUAUGUUGUCGAUCAUGCACACUGCAGCCACAUUGUGCUAAUGAUGGAGGUGACAAAUUUUGAAGAAUAUGUACAGGACUUGGACAGCAAUCCAGCCAGAAAUCAUGGUUAUGCAAGAAGCAAGGAAAUAUUACGCAAGUCCACAGGAAGUUGGAG